UACGUAGGGUGCAAGCGUUAAUCGGAAUUACUGGGCGUAAAGCGUGCGCAGGCGGUUUUGUAAGUCUGACGUGAAAUCCCCGGGCUCAACCUGGGAAUUGCGUUGGAGACUGCAAGGCUAGAAUCUGGCAGAGGGGGGUAGAAUUCCACGUGUAGCAGUGAAAUGCGUAGAUAUGUGGAGGAACACCGAUGGCGAAGGCAGCCCCCUGGGUCAAGAUUGACGCUCAUGCACGAA
rnacentral:rRNA from 1 species